rnacentral:rRNA from 1 species
UACGUAGGGCGCAAGUGUUGUCCGGAAUUAUUGGGCGUAAAGAGCUCGUAGGCGGCCUGUUGCGUCCGCUGUGAAAACCCGGGGCUUAACCCCGGGCUUGCAGUGGAUACGGGCAGGCUGGAGGCAGGCAGGGGAGAACGGAAUUCCCGGUGUAGCGGUGAAAUGCGCAGAUAUCGGGAGGAACACCGGUGGCGAAGGCGGUUCUCUGGGCCUGUACUGACGCUGAGGAGCGAAAGCGUGGGGAGCGAACAGG